UAAAAAAACAAGCGCAAAUCAAAUUAAGAAUAAUCACAUAAAUGAAGUUAUUAAUAAUAAAAAGGAAAUCUGUACUUUGAUUGGACUUCAAAAAUUAAAUAGUAAAUAAGCGCAGUCGAGGAAUAAACAUCCCCAUUAAGGAACUAGUUCUUAAUACAGGACGACAAACUUUAUUUUAAAUAUUGCAAGAUGGAAGAGAGCAAACUGAUUUUUAGUCUAACAUUUUCUUGGAAUGUGUUCUUCAGUUACUUCAAAGGAAAAAUUCCAUGGAUUUAACAGAAGGAUUCGAGCUAGGUGGAUCCUUCCAACAUAUUCAACAACAUGAUCGGAGUUAGGGAGGUCAAGUGCCCCAUAAAUUCUCUGUAAGGUAAAUUUACAGACGAAAAAAUUUAUUAUUUUCAUGAAAUUAUUCUCAAUAUAUGUGCAAGUGUAUUUUGCAAAAAAAAAAAAAUAUAAAUUAGUCAGGGUUGUACUAAAAAUAGCUGUUGAAAUGCAACAAUAUGAAAGGAAAUUAGGAUGAAGUUAUGGAUUUCCAAAAUUAAUUUCGUUUCCAUGAACGGAUUUUCUAAAAAUAAAAGUAAUUGAAAUCAAAUUUUCUUAGAUUUAUUACUAGAAGUUGUUAAAUUAAGCACAUAACGCUAUGAAUGACCGUUAUUAGCUGGAGCGAAAACUAACCUUUAUUUUUCAGCUAUCUACAAAAUAUAAAAUAAAUGCUGAAGAAAAAAACAGGACUCUCUCCUACAGUUCUACCUAAGGGCAAAGUGUAAGAAGGAUAAAGGUAAAAAAAGAAAAUAAAACAAAAACACAUUAAAUAUAUAAAACAACUAAUUUUUAUAAUGACAUAAAAUACAUAAUACGAGUAGGUUGAGAGGGAUUUCAAACUUAUUAUAUAGAAGAAAAUUUAACAUUGUAUGUAUAUCAAAUCGAUUUUGAAGUAUAGAACUACGGCGAGAACUGGAUGGAGAGAGGGAACGCAAAACAACUUAAUUUUUGAGAAUAUUUAUUUAAGAAUGUGAUAGUUAUUUUCUUUUUAUCGUUAUUUUCUCUAUGACAUUUUAUUUGCUAUCUUGUCAAAAACUUAAAAUGUCUUUUUUUUUUUAUUUCAUUUCUCAUAAAACUUU